CCUACGGGUGGCAGCAGUGGGGAAUAUUGCACAAUGGGGGAAACCCUGAUGCAGCGACGCCGCGUGAAGGAAGAAGGCUUUCGGUAUGUAAACUUCUAUCAGCAGGGGAGAAAAUUACGGUACCUGACUACUAAUCCCCGGCUAACUACGUUCCAGCAGCCGCGGUACUACGUAGGGGGCAAGCGUUAUCCGGAUUUACUGGGUGUAAAGGGAGCGUAGGCGGUUUAGUAAGUCAGAUGGGAAAGCCCGGGGCUCAACUCCGGGACUGCUUUUGAAACUGUUGAACUAGAUUGCAGGAGAGGUAAGUGGAAUUCCUAGUGUAGCGGUGAAAUGCGUAGAUAUUAGGAGGAACACCAGUGGCGAAGGCGGCUUACUGGACUGUAAAUGACGCUGAGGCUCGAAAGCGUGGGGAGCAAACAGGAUUAGAUACCCGUGUAGUC
rnacentral:rRNA from 1 species